AUUGAACGCUGGCGGCAUGCUUUACACAUGCAAGUCGGACGGCAGCACAGAGAUGCUUGCUUCUUGGGUGGCGAGUGGCGGACGGGUGAGUCAUAUAUCGGAACGUACCGAGUAAUGGGGGAUAACUAAUCGAAAGAUUAGCUAAUACCGCAUAUUCCCUGAGGCAGAAAGCAGGGGACCUUCGGGCCUUGCGUUAUUCUAGCGGCCGAUAUCUGAUUAGCUGGUUGGGGGGGUAAAGUCCUAACAAGGCGACGAUCAGUCGCGGGUCUGAGAGGAUGAUCCGCCACAUGAGGAGUGAAACGCGGCCCAGACUCCUGCGGGAGGGCGCAGAGGGGAAUGUUGGACAAUGGGGGCAAGCCUGAUCCAGCCAUGCCGCGUGUCUGAAGAAGGCCUUCGGGUUGGAAAGGACUUUUGUCAGGGAAGAAAAGGCUGUUGCUAAUACCGACAGCUGAUGACGGUACCUGAAGAAUAAGCACCGGCUAACUACGUG
rnacentral:rRNA from 1 species